rnacentral:rRNA from 1 species
UACGUAGGGUGCAAGCGUUGUCCGGAAUUAUUGGGCGUAAAGAGCUCGUAGGCGGUUUGUCGCGUCGAAUGUGAAAACCCGGGGCUCAACCCCGGGCCUGCAUUCGAUACGGGCAGACUAGAGUUCGGUAGGGGAGUCUGGAAUUCCUGGUGUAGCGGUGAAAUGCGCAGAUAUCAGGAGGAACACCGGUGGCGAAGGCGGAUCUCUGGGCCAGUACUGACACUGAGGAGCGAAAGCGUGGGUAGCAAACAGG